rnacentral:misc_RNA from 1 species
ACGCGGCAGCGGGCGGGGCCACCGCGUUGGCAAGAUCUGCUCAUCUCUCUCUUUUCCUGGGUUUUGCUCCCCACCCCACCCUCCUUCCCCCCGCACAAGUCGUAGCCGCUUGCCACGAUGUUCUUCGAUGUGUUGGAUAUGACGACGGCGUACAUGCAGUACAUCACGCUGCUGCUGCAUCUGUCGCCGGAGUCGCUCCUGUCCUUCUACAUUGCGCCUUUGGAGGCAAUUCAGUUUAUGAUGCUGCGCGCGUACGAUAAAAUGGAGGAGGUGCAGCGGUACGAAAACCCACUCCGCGUGGAUCUGCCUGGCUGGCUCCCGCUGGACAUUCGAGUGCAGUGCGUUUGCGUCGUUGUCAUCGGCCCGCUGGCGCUGUCAACCCUCGGCCUGCUGUUCGUAUACUGCAAGCCCGCCUACGCUUGGUUCGUGUGCCUCCUCUCCUCCCUCUUUAUGUUUCUCUUCGGCUUCAUUUUAUUGCCGAGCAUGGCCGCCUUCACCUUUCCUGGCCCGUCGCUGCCGUCCAAGUCGAUGCUCGGCAUCCUCGGCGACGUGGGACUGCCGCUCUUUGCGGUGCUGCUGGCUGUCGGUCUUGUUGGCAUGGGUCUCGCGCGUCUGCGGCAGCUGCGCAGGGACGCGGUGGAGCUGGAGCGGUUUAUCGACGAGGAGCGGGAGCGAUGCGGAAGCCAACGCAUCACACAGCAGGUGGUGGACCGCCAGGGGAUCGACCUUGUCACCGUGGCAGCGGAGCGGGUGCACUCCGCGCGCCGCGAGUACUGCAUUGCCCACCUCGACGUCGGAGAUGUGAUGUGGCAGGGCGCGUGCGUGUUGAUGCUGCUGAUCGGCAGUUUUGUGCUGCUUGGGGCGGUGCCGACUCCACCGAUUUACCCGAUGCAGCAGAGCAUCGUGUUCAAGGCGGUCGGGAGCCUAACGUUUGUUUUCUUUGCCGUCUCCGUGCUGUGGUGGAUCACGAGCAUGUUAAAGAAAGGGCGCCGGUAUCUGUGCACGUGCAGUGCCGCGUUCGACCUCCACGCGCUCAGCCUCAUCAUGGUGGUCGCUUCCCUUCUGUACAUUAACGUCGUCGCCAACUUUACUUCGAUCGUCCACUGCGUGCCGCUGACCUGCGAGGCCGAGUCACGAAUGCAGCACCCCGCAUCCCUCUUUCCGCCGCUGUCCUCUCUGAUGGAACAAAGUCGCAUCUCCGACUCGCCGGUCAGGUGUCUGCCGUGCGACUUCCACAACUACACGCAGAAGUGUGCCACCUCCUUCCAGCAGAGCCUGUGCGCCACGGCCCAAAAGCGGUCUUGACUUGUCUAUGGCGCCCGUGUGCCAUGUGGGAGCAUGGAUGGAUUUUACAAGGCGAUCGGCGUCUUGAUAUUUGUCUUCUACAUCCUGCUCCUGCUCUACCUGCAGCUCUACGUCGCGCAGUACGGUGCUCGGAUGCUGCAUGACGUGUACCCACUCGAGCAGCGCUAUCACGACGUCUUCACCGCCGAGGAGCUGUACUUGCAGAAGGUGCUCUUCUCGGACAACAGCGCCGCCUUUGCCUAUCGCGCGUAAACGAUGCAGUUCCGCUUCUACCGGCUCUCCUUCCUGUUGCAGAAAAUCGUCCUCGGCUUCGGCACCUGCUUCAUGCAGCGCGGACAGCAUCGCCGUCUUGCCUGGGUCGGCAUACUGUUCUUCCUGGUAGUCUCGCUCAUUGCGCUGUGCUGCGCCGUGUACUUGCGGCCAUUGUCGCGGCUCACCGAGUUCAUCUACUUCCCGCCGCUGCAAGCGGUGGUUCACAUGUGCAGUUUAGUAUUCCUCGUCGCCUGGAAUUUCGGCAGCGCAGCCGUCCCUCUCGUUGUAUGGGUGAUCCUUCCCAUUGCGCUCAUGGGUGUGCCGGCGAUAGCGCUGGUGGUCGUAACAGUGCUGUCGCGGCAUGAGGAACGCCGCCGGGACGAUCUCCUGCAGAGGCGGCUCGUGCUGGGGGUGACGGCGGCCUACGUCAUGUCAGGGGCGUGGGAGCAGCAAGCGCAGAGCAGCAGCCCAACGCAGCUGCAACCGGGCGACAGCGAGGCCAGGGUCGGCCGCCAGCGACAGAGAGCAGCAGCCGUCUCGGCAGACGGGAAACCCGAGGAUGCCGAAGGAGGACAGCGAUGGCGAAGCAACGCGGCCAUGCGGCUCCGAGAGCACUCCACGGGACCGAGUCUCCUUCAACGCCAGUCCCCUGGCGUCGGCAGCUGCAGCGGGCAUCUCGACUGUCACAGGUGCAAGGGUGGCGGCACUCCCGCAACGCGACAGCCUCAAUAUCGACUCCCUCGGCCGCACACCCGCGGUCAUGGCAUUGAGCCCUGCCGCCCCGUCGGUUCACCACCCGAAGCCGGCAGCAGAAAGGCUCCUAUCGCCGUCGUCGCUAACCCCCGACGCCACCGUGCACUUGUACUGGCCUUCGACGAAUUGCGCCUGCAGCGCCACGAGUAGUCGGAGGCGAGCGCCGAGUCCUGACCAGACCACGGCGGCGUCCAUCCACCCCACCACUAUCACUACCACGGCUUCUGCCCAUGCCUCCGUGGCAACGGUGCACAGCGCCAACGCCGAUCAGGCGCUGCCGGCGCUCCUCCUGAAACGCAAGUGGUGGGACUUCACCAGGGCUCUCGGCGCGAUGGCUAUCGAGAGACAGUGGUGGCACCCUUCCUGCUCUUCCGCGACCGCAAGCCGUGGGCUUGCGGAGGGACGGCAGGAGGUACGACGACACGGUAGGCAUUGGCGGUCAUGAUUGUGACGCACCCACGGCUGCAGCAGUGGAACCCCGCGCCGACCUUUAACAGCAGCAGCAGCGGCGUCGCUCGAUGGUUUCCGUGGCCGCCUCCUCCUUCACGAAGAGCCCGCCACCGCUCUUCCAGCGCACUGGGCCGACCUCAGCGGCGAGUUCUGCUGCGGUAAACGCUUGUGAUCAUGGCAGCGGUGCUUCCGCGGCCCAGCCAGCACGUCGCGCUUCAGAAGAGGAACCACCGCAGCGUCGGAAGGCCUCGUCCAAGACACAUCAGCAGAGAGAAAAGCGCGGCACCAAAGCAGCGCGAGAGAACGCGAACAGAGGCGCUGCAGGUGCGCCCAGCGUCAGACCCCCUGCACUGUCCCUCCCAGCUUCCGCCAGCGCGGCGUCGACGUCGAUGUCGCUGCAUCGGCACCGAUCUUCGGCUUCGAACAGCGUGUGCAGCAGCAACCAGGCGCGCGCAUCCUCAGCGAGCGGGCCGCAGCGUCAGCGGGGUAGCCCAUCCGCUUCAGUCUCUCCUUUCGGCACUGGGGCUGCUUUGGCUGUCGCAUGCGCAGCCGCUGCAAGCCGAGGACAGUCGGUUCGGCGCACCGCCGCCGGCGCUGGCACUGGCGAGCCGUGGAAUCUCCACUCCUAGCCGGCGUCUCUCCCAUUUCUCCUACGUGUGCGUGCCGGCAGUGCUGGAGCUCUCCGAUCAGCGGCGGGCUAUCUUCAUUGCAGCAUCAUCGGCGUCAGCGGUCCGUGACGUCACAGGGGAGCGACCGACUUCAGGGACGCAGUUUCGGCAUGGCAGCGCCGAUCGACGUCGCCGCUGGUGGCUCAGCGGCCGAACACCACCACCCACAGGCGCUCUCUGCGGUCGCAGACAGCCGGGUGUUCGCCCCCAACGCCACCUCCGCAAUAGUCCCUCCCUGCAUUCACAAGUGCACUCCGUGGCACCGGCAGACCCGCUCGGUCAACAGUUCCGCUGCCUCUGCCCGCUGCGAGAGCGGCUGAAGGAGUUGCACUGGGAGCACUGCGAGCAGCUCACGGCUGUGCAACACUACAUCGACUGCGAGAUCAACGAGACGGUGUGGCGCGACGGGUACGACAACGCCAUCACGGACGAGUAUGCCGUGCGUGAGCUCUGCGGGAUGGGGUUCAAGAACAACUGCACGGUGGUUGUGGGCCAGGGGACGGUCCGGCUGGAGGGAUGCGACGCCGCCGCCGUCUCGGAGGAUGCGAUGCAGCGCUGGUGAAGAAGCAGCCUCCUCGCCGUGAAGAAGAGAGGGAGGAAAAGGUUUAUGUCUUAUACGCACAUGACGUAAGCGGUGCAGGAUCGAGCUGCCCGUGUUCGCGUGUGUCUGUCAUGUGCAGCCAUGUGUGAGAGGACGGUGACAACGUCCAACAAGCCGGUGC